rnacentral:rRNA from 1 species
UAAUACGUAGGUGGCAAGCGUUAUCCGGAAUUACUGGGCGUAAAGCGCACGCAGGCGGCGCAGCAAGUUCGACGUGAAAGCUCCCGGCUUAACUGGGAGAGGUCGUUGAAGACUGCUGUGCUUGAGGCAAGGAGAGGGGUGUAGAAUUCCCGGUGUAGUGGUGGAAUGCGUAGAUAUCGGGGGGAAUACCAGUGGCGAAAGCGGCACCCUAGCCUUAGCCUGACGCUCAGGUGCGAAAGCGUGGGGAGCGAACGGGAUUAGAUACCCCGGUAGUCCACGCUGUAAACGAUGAACACUAGGUGUAGGUGAUGUGAAAGUUAUCUGUGCCGAAGCCAACGCGUUAAGUGUUCCGCCUGGGGAGUACGGCCGCAAGGCUA